rnacentral:rRNA from 1 species
CUACGGGUCGCUCCAGUGGGGAAUAUUGGACAAUGGGGGAAACCCUGAUCCAGCAAUGCCGCGUGUGUGAAGAAGGCCUGCGGGUUGUAGAGCACUUUGGGUUGGGAGGACUGCUUCUAGCACUAAUAUUGUUGGAAGUUGACGUUACCUUCAGAAGAAGCACCGGCUAACUCCGGUGCCAGCAGCCGCGGGUAAUACGGAGGGUGCAAGCGUUAAUCGGAAUUACUGGGCGUAAAGCGCGCGUAGGCGGCUAGAUCAGUCGGGUGUGAAAGCCCCGGGCUUAACCUGGGAACUGCAUCCGAUACUGUCUAGCUUGAGUACAGGAGAGGAGAGUGGAAUUCCACAUGUAGCGGUGAAAUGCGUAGAUAUGUGGAGGAACACCAAUGGCGAAGGCAGCUCUCUGGCCUGAUACUGACGCUGAGGUGCGAAAGCGUGGGGAGCAAACAGGAUUAGAUACCCCCGUAGUC